GAUGAACGCUGGCGGCGUGCCUAAUACAUGCAAGUCGAGCGAACGGACGAGAAGCUUGCGUCUCUGAUGUUAGCGGCGGACGGGUGAGUAACACGUGGAUAACCUACCUAUAAGACUGGGAUAACUUCGGGAAACCGGAGCUAAUACCGGAUAAUAUUUUGCACCGCAUGGUUCAAUAGUGAAAGACGGUCUUGCUGUCACUUAUAGAUGGAUCUGCGCUGCAUUAGCUAGUUGGUGAGGUAACGGCUUACCAAGGCAACGACGCAUAGCCGGCAUGAGAGGUGGACCGGCCACAUUGGGACUGAGAUACGGCCCAGACUCCUACGGGAGGAAGGAGGGGGGAAUAUGGCACAACGGGCGGAAGCCUGAUGCAGCAACGCCGCGUGCGGGAUGACGGCCUUCGGGUUGUAAACCGCUUUCGCCUGUGACGAAGCGUGAGUGACGGUAAUGGGUAAAGAAGCACCGGCUAACUACGUG
rnacentral:rRNA from 1 species